rnacentral:rRNA from 5 species
UGACGAGUGGCGGACGGGUGAGUAAUGUCUGGGAAACUGCCUGAUGGAGGGGGAUAACUACUGGAAACGGUGGCUAAUACCGCAUAACGUCGCAAGACCAAAGAGGGGGACCUUCGGGCCUCUUGCCAUCAGAUGUGCCCAGAUGGGAUUAGCUUGUUGGUGAGGUAACGGCUCACCAAGGCGACGAUCCCUAGCUGGUCUGAGAGGAUGACCAGCCACACUGGAACUGAGACACGGUCCAGACUCCUACGGGAGGCAGCAGUGGGGAAUAUUGCACAAUGGGCGCAAGCCUGAUGCAGCCAUGCCGCGUGUAUGAAGAAGGCCUUCGGGUUGUAAAGUACUUUCAGCGGGGAGGAAGGUGUUGUGGUUAAUAACCGCAGCAAUUGACGUUACCCGCAGAAGAAGCACCGGCUAACUCCGUGCCAGCAGCCGCGGUAAUACGGAGGGUGCAAGCGUUAAUCGGAAUUACUGGGCGUAAAGCGCACGCAGGCGGUCUGUCAAGUCGGAUGUGAAAUCCCCGGGCUCAACCUGGGAACUGCAUUCGAAACUGGCAGGCUUGAGUCUUGUAGAGGGGGGUAGAAUUCCAGGUGUAGCGGUGAAAUGCGUAGAGAUCUGGAGGAAUACCGGUGGCGAAGGCGGCCCCCUGGACAAAGACUGACGCUCAGGUGCGAAAGCGUGGGGAGCAAACAGGAUUAGAUACCCUGGUAGUCCACGCCGUAAACGAUGUCUACUUGGAGGUUGUGCCCUUGAGGCGUGGCUUCCGGAGCUAACGCGUUAAGUAGACCGCCUGGGGAGUACGGCCGCAAGGUUAAAACUCAAAUGAAUUGACGGGGGCCCGCACAAGCGGUGGAGCAUGUGGUUUAAUUCGAUGCAACGCGAAGAACCUUACCUGGUCUUGACAUCCACGGAAGUUUUCAGAGAUGAGAAUGUGCCUUCGGGAACCGUGAGACAGGUGCUGCAUGGCUGUCGUCAGCUCGUGUUGUGAAAUGUUGGGUUAAGUCCCGCAACGAGCGCAACCCUUAUCCUUUGUUGCCAGCGAUUCGGUCGGGAACUCAAAGGAGACUGCCAGUGAUAAACUGGAGGAAGGUGGGGAUGACGUCAAGUCAUCAUGGCCCUUACGACCAGGGCUACACACGUGCUACAAUGGCGCAUACAAAGAGAAGCGACCUCGCGAGAGCAAGCGGACCUCAUAAAGUGCGUCGUAGUCCGGAUUGGAGUCUGCAACUCGACUCCAUGAAGUCGGAAUCGCUAGUAAUCGUGGAUCAGAAUGCCACGGUGAAUACGUUCCCGGGCCUUGUACACACCGCCCGUCACACCAUGGGAGUGGGUUGCAAAAGAAGUAGGUAGCUUAACCUUCGGGAGGGCGCUUACCACUUUGUGAUUCAUGACUGGGGUGAAGUCGUAACAAGGUAACCGUAGGGGAACCUGCGGUUGGAUCACCUCCUUACCUUAAAGAAGC